rnacentral:rRNA from 1 species
GAUGAACGCUGGCGGCGUGCCUAAUACAUGCAAGUCGAGCGAACAGACGAGGAGCUUGCUCCUCUGACGUUAGCGGUGGACGGGUGAGUAACACGUGGAUAACCUACCUAUAAGACUGGGAUAACUUCGGGAAACCGGAGCUAAUACCGGAUAACAUGUUGAACCGCAUGGUUCAACAGUGAAAGACGGUCUUGCUGUCACUUAUAGAUGGAUCCGCGCCGCAUUAGCUAGUUGGUAAGGUAACGGCUUACCAAGGCAACGAUGCGUAGCCGACAUGAGAGGGUGAUCGGCCACACUGGAACUGAGACACGGUCCAGACUCCUACGGGAGGCAGCAGUAGGGAAUCUUCCGCAAUGGGCGAAAGCCUGACGGAGCAACGCCGCGUGAGUGAAGAAGGUCUUCGGAUCGUAAAACUCAGUUAUUAGGGAAGAACAAAUGUGUAAGUAACUAUGCACGUCUUGACGGUACCUAAUCAGAAAGCCACGGCUAACUACGUGCCAGCAGCCGCCGUAA